rnacentral:rRNA from 1 species
UACGAAGGGGACUAGCGUUGUUCGGAAUUACUGGGCGUAAAGCGCACGUAGGCGGAUCUUUAAGUCAGGGGUGAAAUCCUGGAGCUCAACUCCAGAACUGCCUUUGAUACUGGGGAUCUCGAGUCCGGAAGAGGUGAGUGGAACUCCGAGUGUAGAGGUGAAAUUCGUAGAUAUUCGGAAGAACACCAGUGGCGAAGGCGGCUCACUGGUCCGGUACUGACGCUGAGGUGCGAAAGCGUGGGGAGCAAACAGG